rfam:Schistosoma mansoni, Puerto Rico, WGS project CABG01000000 data, contig: 0248
AUCCAGCUGAUGAGUCCCAAAUAGGACGAAACGCGCGUCAAAACUGGAU